rnacentral:rRNA from 1 species
GAGUUUGAUUCUGGCUCAGGACAAACGCUGGCGGCGUGCAUAACACAUGCAAGUCGAACGAGAUCUACAUGAUUUAGUGGCGAACGGGUGAGUAACACGUGAGAAACCUGCCUUACACAGAGGGAUAGCCGUUGGAAACGACGAUUAAUACCUCAUGACACCGUGACAUCGCAUGAUGAUGCGGUCAAAGAUUUAUCGGUGUAAGAUGGUCUCGCGCCUGAUUAGCUGGUUGGUGGGGUAACGGCCUACCAAGGCGACGAUCAGUAGCCGAUCUGAGAGGGUGGACGGCCACAUUGGGACUGAGACACGGCCCAAACUCCUACGGGAGGCAGCAGUGGGGAAUUUUGCACAAUGGGGGAAACCCUGAUGCAGCGACGCCGCGUGAACGAAGAAGGCCUUCGGGUUGUAAAGUUCUGUCCUUGGUGAAGAUAAUGACAUAACCAAGAAG